CCGGUGGAGUAACCUUUUAGGAGCUAGCCGUCGAAGGUGGGACAAAUGAUUGGGGUGAAGUCGUAACAAGGUAGCCGUAUCGGAAGGUGCGGCUGGAUCACCUCCUUUCUAAGGA
rnacentral:rRNA from 1 species